UACGGAGGGGGCGAGCGUUAUCCGGAAUCACUGGGUUUAAAGGGUGCGUAGGCGGCUCGGUAAGUCAGUUGUGAAAGCCCCUUGCUUAACGAGGGAGGUGCGAUUGAUACUGUCGAGCUUGAAUCGGGAUGAGGCAGGCGGAAUGUGGCGUGUAGCGGUGAAAUGCAUAGAGAUGCCAGAGAACACCGAUUGCGAAGGCAGCCUGCUGGGCCUGUAUUGACGCUGAGGCACGAAAGAGUGGGGAGCAAACAGG
rnacentral:rRNA from 1 species